UACGUAGGGUGCAAGCGUUAAUCGGAAUUACUGGGCGUAAAGCGCACGUAGGCGGAUCGAUCAGUCAGGGGUGAAAUCCCAGGGCUCAACCCUGGAACUGCCUUUGAUAUUGUCGAUCUGGAGUAUGGAAGAGGUGAGUGGAAUUCCGAGUGUAGAGGUGAAAUUCGUAGAUAUUCGGAGGAACACCAGUGGCGAAGGCGGCUCACUGGUCCAUUACUGACGCUGAGGUGCGAAAGCGUGGGGAGCAAACAGG
rnacentral:rRNA from 1 species